rnacentral:lncRNA from 1 species
ACAAAUAAAUCUUCUGCAGUUGUUUAGAGAAGUCACUCGGAUUACACAAACUCUACUAGAAAGGACUAACGUACAGAGUACCUGUCUUUUUACUUUUAUUAAAAAAAAAAAAAAAAAAAAACUAAAACAAUUAUUAAACUCUCUCAUGGCUAUUUCAUGAUAUUUCCAAGCUUUCCUUUUAAUUUUGUAAUUAAAAAAUAAUAAUUCAAAUAUUCUUGCUAGUAACUAGGCACAAUUUAGUAAUAGAAAGCUCAGAAACUGGUAGUUUCAUUUCAGCAAUCUUUCUAGAUAACUGGAUUCACUGUCUGCUUCACCUUUUAUGCUUGUACCUGAUGUCUGUCUUUUGACAGCUGAGUUUACAGAACCAUCCUUUUUCUGAAGUGUUUCAAGAGGAGAAUCGAAAACACCAGAAAAGGAGAAAAAUUACAAAAAAGUAGAUCAUUCUAUUUCUGUGUCUCUGUUUUGGAUCAACUUUCCCAGGAGGGCCUGGCAGGCCUGCUUCACCUUUGAUGCCUUUCUGUCCUACUGGUCCAGGAGGUCCUGGCUGACCAGGAUACAGAAAUCAGCCUUCUGCAUUCUGUUCAGGGGAGGAUUAAAUAAAGAUUACCUUUCAAGCCAGGAAGGCCAUUUCUUCCAGGAGUUCCUGGAGGCCCUGGAGGACCAGGGGCUCCCAUGA